ensembl:lncRNA
UUCUUCCUUUUGGCGUCCCAGGUCAUUCUGGGACAAGCUGCCUUGCUCCUGGGCAGCUGAGUUGAGGCAGAUAUAAAGUCCUGUAAUGAUGGAUGGAGGUCGCUAUAGCGACAGACGACCUGAUAUCGAGACAUAACCAGACAAUCAGAUUCCUACUGGAGAACGUCAUCACUCAUCCGCCACAUAUCGCCACGGCGACGCCGCGGUCACUGCUUCCUCCAGGCUGUGUGUGUGUCUGUGUGCAUCCUUAGUGUUAGCCAGUAUAUAAAGAAUGUCUCUCUGCAUGAUAGAUGGCCUCAUAUUAACCUCUCUCAUACACACACAGUGACGCACAAGCACAGUGAUACACACACACACACACACUCACAACAACGGGACACACAUACGCACACUCACAACCAUCAGGCAGUAGAUAUGACAAAGUGAUAUUAGAGCCAAUUAAAGGGCCAUUACACUCAACCUGCUGUCAUCACCCUGAGAGGUGCAUGCAUGUGUGUUUAAUGAGCAGGGCCUGAAGGCUGUGUGUCACAUGGUAACAUUUAUUACCUCUUGACAUAAUGACACACUUUUUCUUCAGCCUUAGUGCGCACAGUGUGUGUUUGUGACACACACAGUGUGUGCACAUUGACAAACGGCAGGCGACACGUUCCUUUGCGUGUGGGGGGGGUUCUAAUUUGUUGUUUGUUAUUGUAAAGAUAGAUAUAUCAAUAGUUUUUAUCCUAGAUAAAUAAUUAUUACAUCUUCUUACUACGUUAUUAUUAUAUAACACCAAUUAUUACCAUAAUAUAGGGUGUGCGUGUGUGGUAGAUAAGCUCUCACCUCAAGUUAACAAGCCUUUCUCAUGUUCAGCACAAAACCUUCACAAGAUCAGAUAAGAAAAACACACACACAAAGAUACGUACACACCCUCACACACACUACCUCUGUUACAUUACAUUACAUAACAUGUCAUUUAGCUGAUGCUUUUAUCCAUUCAAUAAGUGCAUUUCAGCUAUAAGGAUACAAACUCAGAAAAGCAAGAAAGAAAAUGCAAUUUCAUCCAAUGAUGUUCUUUAAACAUCACAGUAAGUUGAAUCAAACAUUCUUCAAACCUUAAUUAUUUUUUAAGUUAAGGAGUUUUAUUACGAAAUUAUUUUAACCAGUAAGAUAUGAUACUCUAUAAGAGUGUAGUUGUUUCUGUAAUUAUCUAAUAAUUGUCUCCGGGACAACACACAGGAAGUAUCAGUGACUCACAUCAUCACCUCAUGACCUUGUUAAUGAGCAUAACAUCUCAGUCUGGUUGAUAAUGUGACACUAAUAGAUCUGCAGACGUACUGUUUAACCCCGAAAUGACGCGGUGUGUGUGUGUAUGUGGUGGGGGGGGGAUGUGGGGGCGGCUGCUUCAUUUGCACCUGUUAGCGUUAGCGUUCACGGAGACGAGCUGAGAAAAACACCCUCAGUCUCACUCAUUACUGGGGAGUAACACACUGCUCUCUUUUUACCUGUACUUGCUGCUUCACAUACGCACACACACACACACACCAGCAGCUGUGCUGUCUGAGGACUACACAAACUCAGUUCUUGUGUUGUACUUUUACUUAAAAUGCAAGAACAUACGUACAUAUUCUAGGAUAACUUGAUAAAAUAAAUGGUUAAACGACCCACACGUAUUUCUGUGUGUACUUUAUAUGUACUUUCAGUGUGAAUUUGAAUGCUGUUUUUAGUUUUAGAUCAAAGUAUAAUACUAUUAGUAUUAGAGUAUUUCUACACUGGCUCCUUUUAGCCAAAUAAAAACAGAAAAAUGUGUAUGUAAAUGCAUGUGGCACACGCGUAUUUUUUUGUGUGUGCACAUGUGUUUGGGUCUUUAAUUAGCCUCAUUAGCAGACUGCCACGGCAACACCAUUUACACAGAGACGCCAUAUGUAAACAAUAAUGUUAACACGCUAACGUCUGUUAGCAACAUACUGCACAAACACACACCCACACACAGGCUGUUCAUGUUCAGUAAAUGAAUGAGCGAACAUUGAGUUUAAAUUAUUCUGUUUCUAGAAUAAAUACUGCAGUUAAUAAAACAUGUUGAUCUUAUUGUAUGGUGCUACUAUAGUGGUGGUAUAAAAACAACCUAAUAUGUACUAUUAGAUUAUGAAUAAAACCUAUUCUAUACUAGAACUAGUAUAAAUAGAUUAUAUGAACUAGUAGAGUAUAAAUAUAACAUGCUUUAUACUAGUACCAGUAUAAUUACACACUUAAAAUGUACUAGUACAGUAUAAAUAUACCUUAUUGUUUACUAAUAUUAGUAUAAAUACACAUAUACGUAAUGUGUACGAGUAUAGUAUGAAUAAACCCUAUUGCAUACAAGUAAUAUUAAAUAUUUAAUUGCAUUAAUCACAUAGAUUUAGGCUCUAUCGCCCCCAUGUUCUUGGUCCUAUGUGGAGAUAGAAUAUAGGUUGGAAUGAGUGGAGCCGACUAGGAUGGAGUGUGCCGGUUGAGCAGGUCAGGGUUAGGGUUACGGUCGGUGAGGGAGGUGGGAGCCUGAUGGAGUGUGGUGGUGCAGGUUGGUGGGGGUCUGAUGGAGUGUGGGUCAGGGUUAGGGUUACGGUCUGUGAGGGAGGUGGGACCCUGAUGGAGUGUGGUGGUGCAGGUCGAUGAGGGGAGAGGGGUCCUGAUCAUACUGGGCCUAAAGUGAGCAGAAGAAUUUUGUAUUGGAUCCGUUUUGGGACGGUGAGCCAGUGGAGAUUCUGGAGAAUAGGGGUGAUGUGAUCACAGGAGCAGGAGUGGGUGCUGGACUUUAUUUAGGACUGAUGAUGGUCCUUGAAAAAUUCUGUUGCAGUAGUUGAUUCUUGAGCUGAUGAAGGCAUGGAUCAAAGUUUCAGCCGCAGAGACAGAAUGUCUCUCUGUAUGUCUCUCUGUGUGUCUCUCUGUGUGUGCUCUGGAGACACUGGAGUAAGCACAGUGAGGGGCGCGGGGAUGGGAGUUGUCGAUGGUGAGGCAGAUGUUGUGACUGGUUUUAGUGGGGGAUGUCACUGAUGAUGACAGUUUGAUCACAGUUGAGUUUAAGGAAGUUGGUUUGCAUCCUUGAUUAAAUGUCAGUGACAUUACAUGCCAUUUAGCUGACGCUUUCGUCCACAGCGACUUACAAUAAGUGCAUUUGAACCAUAACAAUACAAACUCAAAAGAACAAGAAACAACAAAGGGAAAUUUCAUUAAAUAAGCAGAUUUACAACAAUUUGGUAUAGAUAAGAGCUAAAGAUAUAGAUAAACUCACAGUCUAUGUUGCUUAUCAACUCUCUCAUUUUGUCUCAGCUAGUUUGGGCCCGAUCUAGACUUGGC